UGGUCAUUACCAAGGCUUUUAGAAUGCAGUUUCCCAUUUGCCAUGGACAUGACCACAAAACAUUUCCCCAAUAGGUCUUUUUUUUUUUUUUUUCUGCUAUGUUGAUAGCACAACAUUCAGCCUACUGGGAACAUUA